AUUGCUAUAUAAAUAAUAAAUAUUUUGGGAAAUAGUUAAGGAAAUAAGAGUUACUGUUAUAUAUCAAUAUAUUACUGUUGUUAAUUACAAAAAGUGCUAUAAAUAUAUUUGCUAAUAAUAUAAUAGUUUAUUUUAAAGUUAUUAUUCUUGCGUAAGCAAGUGGCAUCUAAAUGUUCGUGUCUCAUUUUACCGAUUACAAAAGCCACUUUUGUGAGAGUUGUUUCUUCAUGUAAUUAAGAGUUUGUGUGAAGGUUGUGUUAUUUUUUACUGUAUGUGCUUGUCUGCCAACAUUGCAGGUUCAUAUCCACCCUGAAGGAGCGUUCUCAUUCCAGCGUGGGCUGAUUCCACAGGCCUCUCUGAGCCAGAUCCCAAACAGAGCAAUCAGCUGUGUAUGUGUGUACAGGGAACCGUCGAGUGACGUCAGUGCCUAGCUCUGAUGAGGGGCCGAAGAAAGUAAGCCAGGAAUGAAGACAUCAAGAUGGAAUGCCAAGCAAGUGUCCAGAUGGCUGGUAAAGCCAUCUCUCUCUGAGGAGGCAUCAUUAGCAGUCAACAGAACCGCAUCCAACAGGAGCUCUCGCCAUACGCAGCGCGGCCACUCAGCCAAACUGAAGAGGGAGUCCGCCGGUGUUCAGAGAGUGACCCAGAACCGCGCAGUGGUCAAUGAGCUCGCCUAAGCUUGUUGAAAUGAUCCUAGAACAGCAAGCUGUGCGUAGAGAUAGGUCAACAACAGAAGUGCUGAAACAUAAGAGGACUGACACGACUGAAUUAAAUAACCAGAAACUCCAAAACAUUGUUUGCCCAGGAAACCAACCCUGAAAACAGAAUGAUCUUUUCCCCAACCUUCAGCCUCCUCCACUCCAAAACUAUCCUUGGUCUCAGACCAGGUGUGGAAAAUGGAUGUAUUUUAAAGAAAACAGGGCAAAGGGAAAUGAAAAUCAGUCACGGGACCAAACAGUUUUCAGAACAGUGCUAGAAACAUCUUAUCAUGAGCUUACAUCUGUCGAAAAGUUCACUGUUUUGGCA